AUCGCUUCUCGGCCUUUUGGCUAAGAUCAAGUGUAAAAAUAAAAUUAAUGAGAUAUUUGGAUAAAGUCAUUCUUU
ensembl:snRNA LOC120096430 U2 spliceosomal RNA